rnacentral:rRNA from 1 species
GCAUGCCUUACACAUGCAAGUCGAACGGUAACAGGUCUUCGGAUGCUGACGAGUGGCGAACGGGUGAGUAAUACAUCGGAACGUGCCCGAUCGUGGGGGAUAACGAAGCGAAAGCUUUGCUAAUACCGCAUACGAUCUACGGAUGAAAGCGGGGGAUCUUCGGACCUCGCGCGGACGGAGCGGCCGAUGGCAGAUUAGGUAGUUGGUGGGAUAAAAGCUUACCAAGCCGACGAUCUGUAGCUGGUCUGAGAGGAUGAUCAGCCACACUGGGACUGAGACACGGCCCAGACUCCUACGGGAGGCAGCAGUGGGGAAUUUUGGACAAUGGGCGCAAGCCUGAUCCAGCCAUGCCGCGUGCAGGAUGAAGGCCUUCGGGUUGUAAACUGCUUUUGUACGGAACGAAAAGGUGCCUUCUAAUAAAGGGCGCUCAUGACGGCACCGUAAGAAUAAGCACCGGCUAACUACGUGCCAGCAGCCGCGGUAAUACGUAGGGUGCGAGCGUUAAUCGGAAUUACUGGGCGUAAAGCGUGCGCAGGCGGUUUUGUAAGACAGAGGUGAAAUCCCCGGGCUUAACCUGGGAACUGCGCUUGUGACUGCCAGGCUAGAGUACGGCAGAGGGGGGUGGAAUUCCACGUGUAGCAGUGAAAUGCGUAGAGAUGUGGAGGAACACCGAUGGCGAAGGCAGCCCCCUGGGCCUGUA